rnacentral:rRNA from 1 species
GGGUUGUGAGGUUAAGCGACUAAGCGUACACGGUGGAUGCCCUGGCAGUCAGAGGCGAUGAAGGGCGUGCUAAUCUGCGAUAAGCGCCGGUAAGGUGAUAUGAACCGUUAUAACCGGCGAUACCCGAAUGGGGAAACCCAGUGUGAUUCGUCACACUAUCAUUAACUGAAUCCAUAGGUUAAUGAGGCGAACCGGGGGAACUGAAACAUCUAAGUACCCCGAGGAAAAGAAAUCAACCGAGAUUCCCCCAGUAGCGGCGAGCGAACGGGGAGGAGCCCAGAGCCUGAAUCAGCAUGUGUGUUAGUGGAAGCGUCUGGAAAGGCGCGCGAUACAGGGUGACAGCCCCGUACACAAAAGCGCAUGUGCUGUGAGCUCGAUGAGUAGGGCGGGACACGUGGUAUCCUGUCUGAAUAUGGGGGGACCAUCCUCCAAGGCUAAAUACUCCUGACUGACCGAUAGUGAACCAGUACCGUGAGGGAAAGGCGAAAAGAACCCCGGCGAGGGGAGUGAAAAAGAACCUGAAACCGUGUACGUACAAGCAGUGGGAGCCCCACCACUAAGCCAGUGGUGAACUCCACAUACGCAUCCUUUGCUGAGGAUACGGUUAACGGAGCAAAAGCGACGUUCAACCGCAAAAGAAGCAGAGGGGGCUUAGUGGUGGGGUGACUGCGUACCUUUUGUAUAAUGGGUCAGCGACUUAUAUUCUGUAGCAAGGUUAACCGAAUAGGGGAGCCGGAGGGAAACCGAGUCUUAAUUGGGCGUUAAGUUGCAGGGUAUAGACCCGAAACCCGGUGAUCUAGCCAUGGGCAGGUUGAAGGUUGGGUAACACUAACUGGAGGACCGAACCGACUAAUGUUGAAAAAUUAGCGGAUGACCUGUGGCUGGGGGUGAAAGGCCAAUCAAACCGGGAGAUAGCUGGUUCUCCCCGAAAGCUAUUUAGGUAGCGCCUCGUGAACUCAUCUCCGGGGGUAGAGCACUGUUUCGGCUAGGGGGCCAUCCCGGCUUACCAACCCGAUGCAAACUGCGAAUACCGGAGAAUGUUAUCACGGGAGACACACGGCGGGUGCUAACGUCCGUCGUGAAGAGGGAAACAACCCAGACCGCCAGCUAAGGUCCCAAAGUCAUGGUUAAGUGGGAAACGAUGUGGGAAGGCCCAGACAGCCAGGAUGUUGGCUUAGAAGCAGCCAUCAUUUAAAGAAAGCGUAAUAGCUCACUGGUCGAGUCGGCCUGCGCGGAAGAUGUAACGGGGCUAAACCAUGCACCGAAGCUGCGGCAGCGACACUCAGGUGUUGUUGGGUAGGGGAGCGUUCUGUAAGCCUGUGAAGGUGGCCUGUGAGGGUUGCUGGAGGUAUCAGAAGUGCGAAUGCUGACAUAAGUAACGAUAAAGCGGGUGAAAAGCCCGCUCGCCGGAAGACCAAGGGUUCCUGUCCAACGUUAAUCGGGGCAGGGUGAGUCGACCCCUAAGGCGAGGCCGAAAGGCGUAGUCGAUGGGAAACGGGUUAAUAUUCCCGUACUUGGUGUUACUGCGAAGGGGGGACGGAGAAGGCUAUGUUGGCCGGGCGACGGUUGUCCCGGUUUAAGCGUGUAGGUGUGUGUUCCAGGUAAAUCCGGUUCACUUUAACACUGAGGCGUGACGACGAGGCACUACGGUGCUGAAGCAACAAAUGCCCUGCUUCCAGGAAAAGCCUCUAAGCAUCAGGUAACAUCAAAUCGUACCCCAAACCGACACAGGUGGUCAGGUAGAGAAUACCAAGGCGCUUGAGAGAACUCGGGUGAAGGAACUAGGCAAAAUGGUGCCGUAACUUCGGGAGAAGGCACGCUGACACGUAGGUGAAGUGAUUUACUCAUGGAGCUGAAGUCAGUCGAAGAUACCAGCUGGCUGCAACUGUUUAUUAAAAACACAGCACUGUGCAAACACGAAAGUGGACGUAUACGGUGUGACGCCUGCCCGGUGCCGGAAGGUUAAUUGAUGGGGUCAGCGCAAGCGAAGCUCCUGAUCGAAGCCCCGGUAAACGGCGGCCGUAACUAUAACGGUCCUAAGGUAGCGAAAUUCCUUGUCGGGUAAGUUCCGACCUGCACGAAUGGCGUAAUGAUGGCCAGGCUGUCUCCACCCGAGACUCAGUGAAAUUGAACUCGCUGUGAAGAUGCAGUGUACCCGCGGCAAGACGGAAAGACCCCGUGAACCUUUACUAUAGCUUGACACUGAACAUUGAGCCUUGAUGUGUAGGAUAGGUGGGAGGCUUUGAAGUGUGGACGCCAGUCUGCAUGGAGCCGACCUUGAAAUACCACCCUUUAAUGUUUGAUGUUCUAACGUGGACCCGUUACCCGGGUUGCGGACAGUGUCUGGUGGGUAGUUUGACUGGGGCGGUCUCCUCCUAAAGAGUAACGGAGGAGCACGAAGGUUGGCUAAUCCUGGUCGGACAUCAGGAGGUUAGUGCAAUGGCAUAAGCCAGCUUGACUGCGAGCGUGACGGCGCGAGCAGGUGCGAAAGCAGGUCAUAGUGAUCCGGUGGUUCUGAAUGGAAGGGCCAUCGCUCAACGGAUAAAAGGUACUCCGGGGAUAACAGGCUGAUACCGCCCAAGAGUUCAUAUCGACGGCGGUGUUUGGCACCUCGAUGUCGGCUCAUCACAUCCUGGGGCUGAAGUAGGUCCCAAGGGUAUGGCUGUUCGCCAUUUAAAGUGGUACGCGAGCUGGGUUUAGAACGUCGUGAGACAGUUCGGUCCCUAUCUGCCGUGGGCGCUGGAGAACUGAGGGGGGCUGCUCCUAGUACGAGAGGACCGGAGUGGACGCAUCACUGGUGUUCGGGUUGUCAUGCCAAUGGCACUGCCCGGUAGCUAAAUGCGGAAGAGAUAAGUGCUGAAAGCAUCUAAGCACGAAACUUGCCCCGAGAUGAGUUCUCCCUGAGACUUAGAGUCUCCUGAAGGAACGUUGAAGACGACGACGUUGAUAGGCCGGGUGUGUAAGCGCAGCGAUGCGUUGAGCUAACCGGUACUAAUGAACCGUGAGGCUUAACCUUACAACGCCGAAG